rnacentral:lncRNA from 1 species
GAACAAUUACAGAAUGAUUGGAACUUUCCAGAAUGAUCCUAAUAAAAGAUGCGUUAUAUAAACUUCUACAUUUUACUAGAAACUUCUGUUGUAACUUUCUAGGAUGUUCCAUUAUAGACUGUUCUAGAAUCUUCCAUGACAACUAUAUAUAUACAGACACUAAAGUUAAACACUCACUCUUGGACUUAGACUUAGACAUCGAUAGACAUUAGUAUUUACAGC